rnacentral:rRNA from 1 species
GACGAACGCUGGCGGCGUGCUUAACACAUGCAAGUCGAACGGAAAGGCCUGCUUUCCCUUGUGGAUUGCGGGUACUCGAGUGGCGAACGGGUGAGUAACACGUGAGUGAUCUGCCCCCAACUUGGGUAUAAGCCUGGGAAACUGGGUCUAAUUCCCGAUAGGACUGCAGGGUGGUGCCUGUGGUGGAAAACGAUUUUCUAGUGGUUGGGGAUGAGCUCGCGGCCUAUCAGUUUGUUGGUGGGGUAAUGGCCUACCAAGGCGGCGACGGGUAGCCGGCCUGGGAGGGUGGACGGCCACAUUGGGACUGAGAUACGGCCCAGACUCCUACGGGAGGCAGCAGUGGGGAAUAUUGCACAAUGGGCGGAAGCCUGAUGCAGCGACGCCGCGUGGGGGAUGACGGCCUUCGGGUUGUAAACUCCUUUCGACCGCGAGGAAGCCACCUGGUUGGAAGGGUGGUGACGGUAGUGGUAGAAGAAGCACCGGCUAACUACGUG